GGGUGCGGUUGCGGUUGCGG
rnacentral:siRNA from 1 species